UGGGGAAUAUUGGACAAUGGGCGAAAGCCUGAUCCAGCCAUGCCGCGUGUGUGAAGAAGGUCUUCGGAUUGUAAGGCACUUUAAGUUGGGAGGAAGGGCAGUAAGUUAAUACCUUGCUGUUUUGACGUUACCAACAGAAUAAGCACCGGCUAACUUCGUGCCAG
rnacentral:rRNA from 1 species